rnacentral:rRNA from 1 species
AACGAACGCUGGCGGCAGGCCUAACACAUGCAAGUCGAACGCUCCGCAAGGGGGAGUGGCGCACGGGUGAGUAACACGUGGGAACCUACCUUCUGGUACGGAACAACCAAGGGAAACUUUGGCUAAGACCGUAUACGACCUCCGGGUGAAAGAUUGAUCGCCGGAAGAGGGGCCCGCGUCCGAUUAGGUAGUUGGUGAGGUAACGGCUCACCAAGCCUUCGAUCGGUAGCUGGUCUGAGAGGAUGACCAGCCACACUGGGACUGAGACACGGCCCAGACUCCUACGGGAGGCAGCAGUGGGGAAUAUUGGACAGUGGGCGCAAGCCUGAUCCAGCCAUGCCGCGUGAGUGAUGAAGGCCUUCGGUUGUUAAG